rnacentral:misc_RNA from 1 species
UCGUACAAAAUGUGUGAGGCAUGCGAGGGCUGUUGCUGACUCAAAGUCGUGCACGCCAGAGUGUGUCCUCUCACAUAACCAUCCAUCUCACCCUUUGUGCACCACCGCGUGGGCAUCCUCUUAAAGAGGGUGUUUGCGCUUUUAUACAGACCCACCGCAUGUAUAGAAUGUCUUACUAUUUGCGAUAAAAUGCAAUCAAUA